AACGAUGUUUUUCGAAAAUUUCGAUGAACUGUAUGCUGCGUGGAAGAGUGAAAGAGAAAGCAUGCUUUGUAUUUUCAUCGAUGUUUCGCAAAGCAUGCUAUCUCUUUCAUUCAUGCUUGCGAAUUUUUCGGAAGUUCUGUCAAAUGAAAACUCUUCGCGUUGUUUGCGUCUUUGAUCGUGGAAAAAGCUAAGCCACAUUUUUCCGGUACGAUUUUGAUUUUUUAAUAAGUUGAAUCUGGCACAAAAAGAACUCCGUGGUCAGGAACAAUGGCGUGCAACAGCAACGGUUUCAGCGGAAGAGUAAGUAAAUUACGGAAGUGAGUUUCACUGCGGGCGUAAACACGAUUUCCGGCAAUGAUAUUCUUUUUUCCUCUACUUCCAGAGCAGAAGGGCAGCAGCGAAAUCUCGCUGGACACCGAUUCUGGUGUAGAGAACGACGACUUCAGCUUCGUUACGUCCCCUGCCAGAACCAACACAUCAAUUUUGGAACCAGUGGCCAGCGGUGACGGAGUGGUCUGUGGUGCUGUGAAACCAUCGGGAACGACGACAGGAAUGGCUAAAUACCGGGAGAAGCUACCGAUGCCACCAGAGAAACAGUAAGGAAAAAAAAGCUCGUGUUUAAGGGAAACAAACAAUCUUUUCUUUUAGAAUUUCAUCUCGUCUUAAUAGCCUUGGCCAGUGGAUACGGAAAGUGGUCCGGCUCGGUCGCGGAAAGUGGUUCAAUUCCGCUCUGUAUGAGCAAUAGUGAUGAGCUUAGCGAAAACCCCUUCAAUCGGAUCAAGAGCCAACAGAUCCGGCGUCCCUAAAACCAACGGAACCGAUCCUGCAGUGUGUCAUCAAAGCGGCCAUGAACGAGGAGAUUUAGAAAGCGUCCAGCUGGGUGGUUCCGAUGAACGCCGCACCGUCGUUCCUUGUAGGUUUCUUUCUUAACGCGAUAGACAGCUCCGUCCCACCCUAACAGUGAAGUUCCGGAUGAGUACAACAAACAUUGGCGGGACAUGGUUGGCGUCGAAGGUCAAAACCGGCCGCAGGAGGGUGGCCAACAGUGACAUGUCCGGAGAAUUAUGCAAUAGAAUUUAGGAAAGAUCUUGGUAUGCCCAUCAACUUCCAAGAGCUGAUCCAGUUGCCCUGGACAAAAGAAAUUGGCCCAUCAUUCAGCACUUCUAAGCUGUAUCGGACCUCCUUGGAGUUGCAUCGUGUCAAGAACACGUGCGCGUGGAAGGCUUUAGUCUGCCAAAAGGGGCCGGCACUAGACAAAUAGCUCGUCGACGGAACUGACCUCGCAGUUCAACAACAAAGCGGACCAGAAGCUGAGCAUCGUUGACACGUGUCGCAUCGUUGACCGAGGAGAAAAUGAAAGCUGUCCUGCUGGUUGGUUACGGCGAAGUUACGCCCAGAUGAUUCCGGCCGCCACAGACUUAAUUCCGGCCCAACGUGAGUGAGGAUAGCCGGGCACGUAGGACACGUGCAAUACAUCGGUGCUAGAAGCGGAUAUAUCCAACCUGGGUGUACGCAAUCAUCUUUUUAAGAACUCAAGAGAUUCGCCGACGGAUUAGAACAGCUCGAUUAGGAUCCCGCGAUGGCCGUUUCCUGUGUCGCCCGAGAACCUGCAAGUUGAGAGAACAAAGAAGGCUAAUCUCAGUGUAAUAUUUUUUUUCUCUGUAAAUAGGCUGACAAUGAUUGAGAUGCUCUACGAACGCGUCCAGGUUCGGUUGACGAAGACCGAUCCAUGUACUUGUCCAUAACAAGCGGUCCAACGUGGAUCCUCAACCAAACUUCAAAACCACUUCAAUGGAAAUGACGGCGGAACCGACCUCCCGGGGCGUCACCAACAUGGUUCAGCUGCUGAGUUCGAUCCGGAAAAGGCCGUGCUGUGUGCCACCUCUUUGGCCGAGGAGAAUGUGAAAGUUAGUCUUGCCAAUAGCGCGGCGUCGUGUCUCGCAGGAUACUUUCGUUUCGACCCAGACGAAACCGGCUGCCAUCCGGCGCAUAAAUCGCCGUUAUAGAGUAGCUUAUGAUAAUGGUUCCGUUAGCAAUCAUCACAUCAACUGAAUCCCGACUUAACGUGAGUGAGGUACCGCCGCAAGGAUACCGGAAGUUGAUCCGGCUGACGUGGACAUUCGCAAGCAGCACGAUCGUUCCAUGCUGCUGAUUCCGGUGGCAUCCCACGAAUGCAGCAAAUCCGUCGAGAUAACUCCAAACAAGCAGGCUGUGGCCAAUAUGAGCUAGUUAGUGUUCGGUGAUGAACGGGCUAAACAGCAACCAAGCGGCCCCGGGCCACGGGCAGCAAGCUUCGUUACCGCCGCAGUUCCGUGCGCAGAUACAGAUGUAUUGUGGUAGCGGAGGAGCAGGUGGAUGUUCCGGAUCGCCAUCGCCUCCGUCGGACGGUCCACCUUCGUUGGGACCGAUGGACAACCGGGACAAUAGUGGAAUGCAAAAUAACAAUGUUGGCGGAGGCGGAACAAUGAAAUACUGAGCUUCGUCUCGGGCGGUACAAAUCAUCAGAACCUCGGCGGAAGCGUAAGUCAGGAGCAGCAGCAGGGGGCAAGUGUCGACCAGCGGGACAGCAGCAGCGUUGAGGAAUAGAUCGUACCAUGAUUAUCAUGCGUCGUAUUGACUCCGAUGAGGAGGAUCGCUUCAGCAGCGGUGCCCGAAGUCGUCCAGCAAGAUGAGCGGCGGCGGUGGCCGUACAACAGUACAACGCAGUUCAAUCAAGGCCCUUUGAGUGAUGACAACUGCCAUCGCCAGCACAAUCAGCAGCUGCAACAGAUCUUUGGAGAGUGAAGCGGAAAAGUAGGAUCAUCGUCUGGUGGAGGCAGUCGCUGCGUUGGGCAAAAAAAAACCAGUACCACCAGCAACACGAUUCGCGAGCUGUGGAAUCGAAGCUGAAGUCGGACAGCUGUACCACUUGGAGAUGGUCCAGGAGAAGCCGGUGGUAGCGGAACCAAUGCUGCGAGAGCUUAGGUCAAAUAAUGUUGCGCCACCCCCAAAAAGUGGGAGGACAUGGAUCGACCAGGACGUAGGACCAGAGAUGCCAAAAAAAAGUCACGCGCUGGAUUUUCUAGACAAAUGGCAUGACGGCGGAUUCGACCUCGCUUGCCGUCAACAGACGGUCUUCAAACUGAGGAACCUUACCAUCGUCAACAUAACGGAGACACUCACCGAGAAGGACGGAAGCGGUACGCGUAUGUAAGAGAUCAAAAAGAUGGACGACGAAUACUUAUGCUUCGUUAUGGAACGUGCACCAUCUCCUCCGUGGUCCAUCCAAGGACA